rnacentral:rRNA from 1 species
UACGUAGGGUGCGAGCGUUAAUCGGAAUUACUGGGCGUAAAGCGUGCGCAGGCGGUUAUUUAAGUCAGGUGUGAAAGCCCUGGGCUUAACCUAGGAAUUGCGCUUGAGACUGGAUAGCUUGGAGUGCGGCGAGAGGGAGGGUGGAAUUCCGACGUGUAGGCAGUGAAAUGCGUAGAGAUGAUGGAGGAACACCGAUGGCGAAGGCAGCCUCCUGGGCCAGCACUGACGCUCAUGCACGAAAGCGUGGGGAGCAAACAGGA